CAGUCGCCGCGGUAAAACGUAGGUGGCAAGCGUUGUCCGGAAUUAUUGGGCGUAAAGGGCUCGCAGGCGGUUUCUUAAGUCUGAUGUGAAAGCCCCCGGCUCAACCGGGGAGGGUCAUUGGAAACUGGGAAACUUGAGUGCAGAAGAGGAGAGUGGAAUUCCACGUGUAGCGGUGAAAUGCGUAGAGAUGUGGAGGAACACCAGUGGCGAAAGCACUCUGCUGGGCCGACACUGACACUGAGAGACGAAAGCUAGGGGAGCAAAUGGGAUUAGAUACCCCUGUAGUCCCUGUCUCUUAUAC
rnacentral:rRNA from 1 species